rnacentral:misc_RNA from 1 species
AGAAUAGAUCGAGGUAUGCUUCACUGCCCAAUGCGAACCCUGCUUUAAGCAGUUGUUGCCUGGUAGGAGUUGAUUUCAGCUCGUGUUCUAUUGAGCGUCGCCCCUCGCUUCGCCAGCCGAUGCGACCGACAGACAUCCUAGCCUUCCUGUCGCCGUUCUCCAGUUGAUCCUUCAGUGCCCUUUCACUGUUCUCUUCAAGGUGGACCAACGCCCCCAGCGCCUCAAAACGAUCGAACAGCAGAGCAUUGUCUGUGGGGACGCCCAAAAACGCCGUGCCCCACUCGAAGG